rnacentral:rRNA from 1 species
CAGGAUGAACGCUAGCGGCAGGCUUAACACAUGCAAGUCGAGGGGCAGCGCGAGGUAGCAAUACUUGGCGGCGACCGGCGAAAGGGUGCGUAACGCGUGAGCAACUUGCCCGUAUCUGGGACAUAAGCGGUGGAAACGCCGUCAAUUUCCCAUAACAACAGAGGCCGCAUGACCUUUGUUUGAAAGAUCCGUCGGAUACGGAUGGGCUCGCGAGACAUUAGCUAGUCGGCGUGGUAACGGCACACCGAGGCGACGAUGUCUAGGGGUUCUGAGAGGAAGGUCCCCCACACUGGAACUGAGACACGGUCCAGACUCCUACGGGAGGCAGCAGUGAGGAAUAUUGGUCAAUGGGCGCAAGCCUGAACCAGCCAUGCCGCGUGAAAAGGAAUAAGGCCCUAUGGGUCGUAAACUUCUUUUGUGGUGGAGCAAUAAGGCGUACGUGUACGUCGAUGAGAGUACAUCACGAAUAAGCAUCGGCUAACUCCGUGCCAGCCGCCGC